AACUAUUAGAGAGCAAGAGAGAGAGAGGGGAACGUGAGGCGGCCUCAAAACAAGAUGGGCCGCAUAUGAUAAAAUAAGGGAGUUGAUAUCCAGCCAGUGGUCCGCGAGAGCGACCAGUGCAGAUGACACGGCGUAUUAUAUCCAACGUGUGAUAUCAUCAGGACAGCUCACAUAAGCCUGCAAAUCGAUGGAGGCGAUUGCAUCUAUGAAAUCCUUACAUUACCAGAUAAUCUGUGCUGACAAUCACUUCCAACCGUCCCUCUGAUCAACGCAUCCCCUCCAGCAGUCAGGCUGAUUGGUGCCGUUCACAUAGUUGUGUAAGUUUGUGCCACAACUGGAACAGUCAACACACAAACAUGAAAGCAGGAGUGUGUGACCCCCUUCAAUUAAUAGCUCUCUGUCAGUGAAGAUCCUGUACACAGGGAUAUACAGACAGUUGUUUAUGUCUUCUUCAUGGCUGCUAAAGCGUUAGCGUUCCUCUAAUACAGUGUGGACUGAACCACCGCAGACCAACUGCUUUCCCUCGUUUGUCUUGUUAAAGGGAAACAAGAACACAUGUGAAACAGCCUUUACCUUUUAAUGCUAUUUCAGCUGCU
ensembl:lncRNA